CACGUGCAUCAUGAAAGACUCUCAUAACACACUUCAUCAACGUAUUCACACACAUGGCCGAAAUUGUUCUCCUCUGUCGCGCCGAAAUUCGUCAUCGGUGGCGGCGGAGCCUUAAAAUAGUCAAACUAUACCCCAUUCUCUUUGCGCCACAACCCUUUAUCUGAAACCUUACUCUAUUUCGUCCAAUUUCAACCCAAUCAAACCAAAUUAUCCACCACAGUCAAGAACCUUAAUCCAUAAUUACGUAAAUUAAAUGUAAGGGAGAUGAAAUUGAAGCCGACACCCUUAGCGCUUCAAUUCCCUAAGCUAAGGGUUACAUCUCGGUAACAAGUUGAAGACGAAAUGAAGGAGAAGUGCAAAGGAGCUUACCGGUCGGAGCAGUUUCGGCGACUCUUCAAGGUAAGUUCUUCAAGCUUUAUUCACUCAUUCUUCUUCGUCUUCCUCGCUUCUGUCUUCUUCUUUUUCUUCUUGCUUUUCUGGUUCCUCCUCCUCUUCUCUUCUUCUAUGCUUGAUGUGUGAGAGAUGAGAGAAUGAGAUUUUGAUAGGCGAAGGAGAAUCAAAGUGAGUGAAAAUGCAUAAUGAGGACGAAUCUACAAAAUUCUGAGAAAAAUGAGUGAAGAAUCGUCCUCUCUAAACGUGAAUGGAAACCAGAUUAUAUAGAGUUUCAACUUUAACAGAGAUUAACUCUGUUAAAGCUCUCUCAGUUCAAGUUAGUUAGAGGUUGGAUCUCUGUUAAAAAUCUAUCAAGGUUACAGGUUAACAUGAAUUAUGUGAAGUGGCUAUGGAUUAUACAUGGUGAUGACAUGCUAAACAGGGUAAUGGUCUACUGAUGGGUGAGCAAGGUGGUUGCAUUCCUACUGCAGACCCAUAAUGAGCUCAUGGUGGCAUAGCCAAAGGAAGCACAUGGAGGCCUUUGAGGAUGCAAGGAUGGGCUGCCAUAUUAAAAGCUCUUUUUUCCUUUCUUCCUUUUGAUUCAAACCAUGUUAUGAAAUAGAAUUGGGGCUUACUCUUUGUAUGGAUAUGAUCAUGUAAAGAUACACUUUGUAAUCAAACUUCAAUUAUCACUUCAAAUUAUGGAUGCCAUUUACACGGA